GCAGGGGGAGCAACAUGAAGUCACAGACCCAGGUCCUCAUAUCCCUGCUUCUAUGGGUGUCUGGUAACUGUGCAGAUAUCACGAUGACUCAGUCUCCAUCCUCCCUGGCUGUGUCAGCAGGAGAGAAAGUCACCAUCAGCUGCAGGUCCAGUCAGAGUCUUUUAUCCAGCAAAGACCAAAAGAACUACUUGGCCUGGUACCAGCAGAAACCAGGGCAAUCCCCUAAGCUGCUGAUCUACUAUGCAUCCACUUCGUACACUGGGGUCCCUGAUCGCUUCACAGGCAGUGGAUCUGGGACAGAUUUCACUCUCACCAUCAGCAGUGUGCAGGCUGAAGACCUGGCAGAUUACUACUGUCAGCAGCAUUAUAGUGCUCCUCACACAGUGCUUCAGACUGUCAAUCUGAGAUAG